rnacentral:rRNA from 1 species
CCUACGGGGGGCAGCAGUGAGGAAUAUUGGUCAAUGGACGAGAGUCUGAACCAGCCAAGUAGCGUGAAGGAUGACUGCCCUAUGGGUUGUAAACUUCUUUUAUAUGGGAAUAAAAUGUUCCACGUGUGGGAUUUUGUAUGUAUCAUAUGAAUAAGGAUCGGCUAACUCCGUGCCAGCAGCCGCGGUAAGACGGAGGAUCCGAGCGUUAUCCGGAUUUAUUGGGUUUAAAGGGAGCGUAGGUGGAUUGUUAAGUCAGUUGUGAAAGUUUGCGGCUCAACCGUAAAAUUGCAGUUGAAACUGGCAGUCUUGAGUACAGUAGAGGUGGGCGGAAUUCGUGGUGUAGCGGUGAAAUGCUUAGAUAUCACGAAGAACUCCGAUUGCGAAGGCAGUUCACUGGACUGCAACUGACACUGAGGCUCGAAAGUGUGGGUAUCAAACAGGAUUAGAUACCCUGGUAGUC